AUCGAACGCUGGCGGCAUGCCUUACACAUGCAAGUCGAACGGUAACAGGCCGCAAGGUGCUGACGAGUGGCGAACGGGUGAGUAAUGCAUCGGAACGUGCCCAGUCGUGGGGGAUAACGCAGCGAAAGCUGCGCUAAUACCGCAUACGAUCUCUGGAUGAAAGCGGGGGACCGAAAGGCCUCGCGCGAUUGGAGCGGCCGAUGUCAGAUUAGGUAGUUGGUGGGGUAAAGGCCCACCAAGCCAACGAUCUGUAGCUGGUCUGGGAGGACGACCAGCCACACUGGGACUGAGACACGGCCCAGACUCCUACGGGAGGCAGAAGUGGGGAAUUUUGGACAAUGGGCGCAAGCCUGAUCCAGCAAUGCCGCGUGCAGGAAGAAGGCCUUCGGGUUGUAAACUGCUUUUGUACGGAACGAAACGGUCCGGGUUAAUACCCUGGGCUAAUGACGGUACCGUAAGAAUAAGCACCGGCUAACUACGUGCCAGCCGCCGCCGUAACAC
rnacentral:rRNA from 1 species